rnacentral:tRNA from 1 species
GCCGCGGUAGCUCAGUUGGUGGAGCAUCGGACGCCUUAUUCGAAGGUCGCAGGUUCGGUCCCUGUCCGCGGCA